ACUCUAUUCCUCUAACGGCCGUUUUCAAUAACGUAUCUGAGUUUUCGGAUAGAUAGCUAUCUCCGAAUAUCAGCAAGAGCGUAUCUGUCCUUAGUUUGCGUUUCACAAUCACGGAUAAGUGCUAUCUCUCUUUAACCAACAGUAGAUAGCUUCUUCCCUCCGAUUUAUCCGAGCCUCUUGAUACGUUUCGUUCUACUACAAAUACGAAACAACAUCAGGAUCAAGACUUAUUUUAUUUUAUUCUAAAUUAUAACUAUAAUUUAACCAGCAUAUUGUAGACUAUCAUAAACACAUUUGUUUAUAACAAAAAGUAAUAAAAACAUAUGUAGAUUUUUUUAAAUUGGACGUAUUGCUAUUUUUAUCCUAGUCGAAAUUAUGAAACGAAACGUUUUGACAGUCCGUUUGCCAAUAUGCAGUGAUCAGUUUCUUUUGUUUGUUUUUCUAUUGUUUAUCUACUAUAUUAGAUGAUGACUUACCUCCAAAACGCUUUAAAACUUUCGUUUAUAAUUCUAAGUGUGUUUAUAAUUAAAGAGCUACAGUGAAAUAAAAUGAAUUCUUCAAGAAAGGCAGCACCCAUGACAAAAGAUGAGACGAUGAUUCUAGCAGAACUUGUGGCGGCGAAAAAACAUUUCAAUAAUAAGGCAACAAAUGCCAGAAACAAUAAAUUGAAGGAACAGGCUUGGCAAACCCUUGUAAAUGAUUUUAAUUCGUCGAUUCGUCGUUUCCCACGAACUCCAUCGCAGCUUCGACUAAAAUGGGAAAAUUUAAAGAACGCUACGGCAACAUAAGAAACAACCUUAGUAAGGCUGGAGGUGGUAAGGAUUGCAGAUGAAAUUUUGGAUAAAGCAUGCACAUUGUUGUAGGUCACAUAUAAUAUUUUUAACACUUUUACAGCCAAGCGGAAACAAGAUGGAAGAAAAGAAAUGCAAGGCUAGCAUAGGGACAAUGCAUUAGCAGAAUAUCUAAUAGCAAAAAAGAGACUUGACUUGGAAAAUAAAGAAAAGGAGAUUGUUGUAGCAAAAGUUAAGUUAGAUUUAGAUAAUUUAAAAAAUUAAAAAUUACUUAAAAGGAAUAUUAAAUUUCAUAAAUUAAGUAGGCAAUAAUAAUUUUAUGUUAGAUAGUUUUUUAAGUAUAUGUACAAAUUCUAAAUUAAAUAUCUUGCAUGUACUAACUACCAUGUAAUUAUCAUUUUGGAAAAUAAAAAAUAGUCAAAUUA